UUAUACCAGAACGUAACGUAAAAGUAACUCACAUAACCUACCCCCGAUGACAACAACUUCACUCGGUAGAAAAAUAAACCAAACUAACAUUUUUGUCCUGAUUUGAAAAACAGUUUUUAAGUUAUUUUUAUUUAAAUUUUAAUAAUAUCGCAUUACGCUUCAGCCAUUUGUGGUCCGGAACAUCUUUAACAGUGACAACCAAACUUUUACAAGUUUUACGUUUUUAUAGAUUUUUUGGAAAAAGUUUCGUGCGAUAUCAAGAUCAUUUUGAAAACCCGGAGCAAUUCCCACCGCUGCAGUCAACAGUACUGUUUACUUUAUACGUCCGGGAUUCUAAAUCGCACAGAGUCUUGAAGAAGAGACCUAUGGAUCCAAGUGCUGUAUAAGGUGAAGAUCGGCUACUACUUAACGAGCAAACUAUUCGUGUUGAGCAAUUUCAUCGGAUGAGAUGCAAUUCCAUGGCGAUGGCUCGUACUCUUUUAAAAGGAAUGAUGCAGAAACAACCAAAACAGCAAGACAGCGGAACGGGAUGCCAACAGCAGUCAUUCAACGAAUCAAUAAAUUAAUUAAGGCACACAAAUUGCAAUAGAUUUUCGGGAAGAACAAUAAAAUGUUAAAUAUUUCUGAGUAGUCAUGUAAAUUAUAAAUUUAUUGACAAUUUUGAAAACAAUUACAAUACAAUUUAUUUUAAUAAAAAAAGGCAUCGUGAUAAUAAUGAAAAUAAUU